GACGAACGCUGGCGGCGUGCUUAACACAUGCAAGUCGAACGGAAAGGCCCUGCUUUUGUGGGGUGCUCGAGUGGCGAACGGGUGAGUAACACGUGAGUAACCUGCCCUUGACUUUGGGAUAACUUCAGGAAACUGGGGCUAAUACCGGAUAGGAGCUCCUGCUGCAUGGUGGGGGUUGGAAAGUUUCGGCGGUUGGGGAUGGACUCGCGGCUUAUCAGCUUGUUGGUGGGGUAGUGGCUUACCAAGGCUUUGACGGGUAGCCGGCCUGAGAGGGUGACCGGCCACAUUGGGACUGAGAUACGGCCCAGACUCCUACGGGAGGCAGCAGUGGGGAAUAUUGCACAAUGGGCGGAAGCCUGAUGCAGCAUCGCCGCGUGCGGGAUGACGGCCUUCGGGUUGUAAACCGCUUUCGCCUGUGACGAAGCGUGAGUGACGGUAAUGGGUAAAGAAGCACCGGCUAACUACGU
rnacentral:rRNA from 1 species